UCGAGAAUCUUCCACAAUGGACGAAAGUCUGAUGGAGCGACGCCGCGUGGUUGAUGAAGUCCUUCGGGACGUAAAGACCUUUUAUGGGGGAGGAAGUAAUUGACGUUACCCCAUGAAUAAGGGGCUCCUAACUCUGUGCCAGCAGGAGCGGUAAUACAGAGGCCCCAAGCGUUAUCCGGAAUCACUGGGCGUAAAGGGUGUGUAGGCGGUUGUGUUAGUCUUUUGUCAAAGCUUUUCGGCUUAACCGAGAAAACGCAGGAGAAACGGCACGGCUUUGAGGGCGCGAGAGGUAGAGGGAACUCAUAGUGUAGGGGUGAAAUCCGUUGAUAUUAUGGGGAACACCAAAUGCGAAGGCACUCUACUGGCGCGUUCCUGACGCUGAGACACGAAAGCGUGGGAAUCGAACGGGAUUAGAUACCCCCGUAGUCC
rnacentral:rRNA from 1 species